AGGGAUAACGCACGGAAACGUGAGCUAAAACCAGAUAGGCAUUUUCCACGCAUGAGGGAGAUGAGAAAGGCGGAGCAAUCUGCCGCUUAUGGAUGGACCUGCGUCGCAUUAGCUAGUUGGAGUGGUAAAGGCACACCAAGGCGACGAUGCGUAGCCGACCUGAGAGGUGAGCGGCCACACUGGGACUGAGACACGGCCCAGACUCCUACGGGAGGCAGCAGUAGGAAUCUUCCGCAAUGGACGAAAGUCUGACGGAGCAACGCCGCGUGAGUGAAGAAGGUUUUCGGAUCGUAAAGCUCUGUCGCCAGGGAAGAAGAGCAAGGAGAGGAACUGCUCCUUGAGUGACGGUACCUGAGAAGAAAGCCCCGGCUAACUACGUG
rnacentral:rRNA from 1 species